ensembl:lncRNA
AUGAGAAAGCUGCUUUCACCGAGGAAGCUCCUUUUACCCAGCAGCUCCUCCUGCUCCCAAAGCUGCGCAUCAUUCGCUGCUGCUGUCACACAUCUGCAAGGACCCUCCCCCGGGCGGCUCCAGCUGCGUCCAGAUGUGCUCGGAGAGGCCUUUUUGUGCUCCCUCCCGAGGAGAAAUUCUCCUUCUCGCCCCACUGCUGAUGUCCCCGGUGCCCUGGAGCGUCCCCUCCCCUCCCAGCGACCUUGGGCUGGCCUGGCCGGGCACCGCCUGUCCCUGCUCGGUGACGUUCCCGAGGCUCAGAGCCUCCGGAGCCUCCGGCUGUUUCUUGGCAACGCAGAGAAAAACACGGCAAGGGCAGGGGGGAGCUCGGAGGGAGCUCAGGGAUGUCCCCUGCCCGUUCCCUGUGUCAGGAGGGGCAGCUCAGAGCCUGCCCGGCACCCCCGGGUGCUGCCAGCCCUGCCCGAGUGUCACCCUGUCCCCAACCCGAGUGUCACCCCAGCUCUGCCCGAGUGUCCCCCGGCCCCCAGCACGGCUCAGCCCGCUCCGGGCUCUUCCGGGCUGGGAAUUCGGGCUUGGCAAAGCCCAGCAGGGAAACCUUGUGUGACCUUGGCUGCAGCAGGGCCACGCGUCCCCAGCCCCGGGCAGCGCUGGGAUCAUGGGGAGGGGUGGAACAGCGAAAUUCCAGCCCCAGGAUCACGGAGAGGGGAUGGAACAGCCAAAUUCCUGCCCUGGGAUCAUGGAGAGGGGAUGGAACAGCCAAAUUCCUGCCCUGGGAUCAUGGAGAGGGCUGGAACAGCCAAAUUCCAGCCCCUCCGAUCGCCACAGCUGGCUGGAAAAACAACAAUCCCCUCCCAGCCCCUCCGAUGGGCACAGCUGGAUGGGAAGGCAGCGCCGGGCGGGCCCGGAGCCGCUCCAGCCCCCGAGGGCUCAGCACGGAGCUGGGAACGGCCCCGGAGCGCUCCCGGCACCUCCCGGGCGGGGCUGGACCGGGAGCGGGGCCGGGGCUGGGGACCCUGCCGGAGGGAGGGGAGGGUCCCCAGGGGUGCGGGGAGAGGUGCGGGAUUCGGGAAUGAUCCCAUGGGAUUGAGGAAUCACCCCGUGGGAUUCAGGAAUGAUCCCGUGGGAUUCAGGAAUGAUCCCGUGGGAUGCAGGGAGAGGUUCAGGGUGCAGGAAUGAUCCCGUGGGAUUCAGGAAUGAUCCCGUGGAUGCAGGAAUGAUCCCAUGGGAUGCAGGGAGGGGUUCAGGAUUCAGGAAUGAUCCCAUGGGAUGCAGGGAGGGGUUCAGGAUUCAGGAAUGAUCCCAUGGGAUUCGGGAAUGGUCCCGUGGAGGCAGGGACAGGUUCAGGGUGCAGGAAUGAUCCCCAAGGAUUCAGGGAUGAUCCCAUGGGAUGCAGGGAGAGGUCCAGGAUUCAGGAAUGAUCCCGUGGAUGCAGGAAUGAUCCCGUGGGAUUCAGGAAUGAUCCCGUGGGAUGCAGGGAGAGGUCCAGGAUUCAGGAAUGAUCCCGUGGAUGCAGGAACGAUCCCGUGGGAUGCAGGGAGAGGUUCAGGAUUCAGGAACGAUCCCGUGGGAUUCAGGAACGAUCCCGCGGGACGCCGGACGGAGCCGUGCCGAGGCUCUGCGGCUCAGGGACACCCCGGGAGCCGCGGGAAGGGCCGGGCCAGCCCCGAGCGUACCUGGGCGAGCGCCGGGAGCCGGGGCAGGAUCGGAGCGGGAUCAGCUCCAGUCGGCCAUGUCUCGCUGCUGCCGCCGCCGCUGGAGAGAGGCUGAUGUAGGAGCAGCUAUUUUAAGGCAUGACAUGGCCAGAGGCAGCGUUGUUUGUGCCAGGCUGGGCGCGGAGGGGACCCGGCGACACCGCGGGCACCGCGGGGCGGCCCCGGCCCCGGCGACAGCAGCAGCAGGGUCCCCAAAUGCUCCGGCAGCUCCUGUCCCUCCUCCUCCUCCUCCUCCUCCUCCCGGAGCUGCCCCAGCGGUGCUGAGGACGUGAUUUCCCUCCCCGGGGAUCUGCAGGAUCCAGGAGACUUUUUUUUUUUUUGUAAUUUUUCCCCCCUCUUCUCCCUUUGUACAUCCAGGGCUCGGUGAGGAUUUUCUCCGUUUGCAAAGAAAAUAAAAACCUCGGGUUGAUGUGGGGAUAGCAAAUCAGAGAAUGGCGUGGCUUGGAAAGAGCUCUAAAAAUCCGUGGUUGCAUGGCUCCGUUCCAAAUUGAGACAAUUUACAAAUUCCUGUCGAAGUCACGGAAUAUUAAAAAAAAAAAAGAAAAAGGGAACUCACGACUGAAGCUUUUUUGUUGUUGUUUUGACAGCUUCUAAACGCCACCAUUCAUUUCACAAGUGCUGCGAUGUUUCAGUUAAACAUUUUCCAGGCAGAAUGUGCAGAACGUGCUCCCGGUUCCCUUUGAAGCGUUCCCGGAGAAAAGUUUGAGUCAGAUCACAAAGUGGGAGUGGGGUGGGAAAAACAACCCGAGGAAGGAGAACCGAGCUGUUCCCGGCUGAGCAUUCCGGGAUUCCCUCCCCCACUCCUGGCUGGUACCCAGGAAUUUCUCCUGGAUUGUUUUGCAGCUGAAGCUGGGUUUAUAUCGGGAUAUAAUCCCGGGAUUAUCCCAGGAUUGAGCAGGGUUUGGGGCGGGCGCUGCCCUCACUGAGCCCGGGGGGUUUCGCAGCGCUGGGAUGCUCCAGGAAAACCCACCCUGAACCCUGGGAAAUGGGGUUGGGCAUCCUUACCUGCAGAAAAAUUGAGUUUUCUCUUCUGCCUGGCCGCACUCCUCCAAAAACCAGGCAUGGAGAGGAAAUUUGUGAGUUCUGUCGGGCACUUCAGCAGCCCCGGGGGUUCGCAUUGUGGAAAAGUGCCUGCAAGCCCCGGCACAAAGGGUUAAAUCUGAAUUUAAAUAAAUAAAUAAAUAACAACAACAAAAAGCUGCGCGAAGGGAAAGGGGGUGGAUAAAUGUUUUGGCACAGCGCUGCCUGCAGGGAGCUCGCCGGUCAGUUCAGCGCAGGAUUAGUGCUUGUUGUGGUUUUGUUCCGGGAAUAACGCCGGGAUUGCUCCGUGGAGCAGCCAG